UUAAGUCCGUAACGAGCGCAACCCUUGUCCUUAGUUUACCAGCACGUUAUGGUGGGCGACUCUAAGGAGGAACUGCCGGGUGGACAAACCGGAGGAAGGUGGGGAUGACGUCAAGUCAUCAUGGCCCUUACGGCCUGGGCUACACACGUGCUACAAUGGUCGGUACAAAGGGUUGCCAAGCCGCGAGGUGGAGCUAAUCCCAUAAAACCGAUCGUAGUCCGGAUCGCAGUCUGCAACUCGACUGCGUGAAGUCGGAAUCGCUAGUAAUCGUGAAUCAGAAUGUCACGGUGAAUACGUUCCCGGGCCUU
rnacentral:rRNA from 1 species